rnacentral:rRNA from 1 species
CGACGGGUGAGUAAUGCCUAGGAAUCUGCCUGGUAGUGGGGGAUAACGUUCGGAAACGGACGCUAAUACCGCAUACGUCCUACGGGAGAAAGCAGGGGACCUUCGGGCCUUGCGCUAUCAGAUGAGCCUAGGUCGGAUUAGCUAGUUGGUGGGGUAAUGGCUCACCAAGGCGACGAUCCGUAACUGGUCUGAGAGGAUGAUCAGUCACACUGGAACUGAGACACGGUCCAGACUCCUACGGGAGGCAGCAGUGGGGAAUAUUGGACAAUGGGCGAAAGCCUGAUCCAGCCAUGCCGCGUGUGUGAAGAAGGUCUUCGGAUUGUAAAGCACUUUAAGUUGGGAGGAAGGGUUGUAGAUUAAUACUCUGCAAUUUUGACAUUACCGACAGAAUAAGCACCGGCUAACUCUGUGCCAGCAGCCGCGGUAAUACAGAGGGUGCAAGCGUUAAUCGGAAUUACUGGGCGUAAAGCGCGCGUAGGUGGUUAGUUAAGUUGGAUGUGAAAUCCCCGGGCUCAACCUGGGAACUGCAUUCAAAACUGACUGACUAGAGUAUGGUAGAGGGUGGUGGAAUUUCCUGUGUAGCGGUGAAAUGCGUAGAUAUAGGAAGGAACACCAGUGGCGAAGGCGACCACCUGGACUGAUACUGACACUGAGGUGCGAAAGCGUGGGGAGCAAAC